UACGGAGGGUGCAAGCGUUGUUCGGAAUUACUGGGCGUAAAGAGCGCGUAGGCGGUUCAAUAAGUCAGACGUGAAAGCCCUGGGCUUAACCCAGGAUGUGCGUUUGAAACUGUUGAGCUAGAGGACCAGAGAGGUGAGUGGAAUUCCUAGUGUAGAGGUGAAAUUCGUAGAUAUUAGGAGGAACAUCAGUGGCGAAGGCGGCUCACUGGCUGGUACCUGACGCUAAGGCGCGAAAGCGUGGGGAGCAAACAGG
rnacentral:rRNA from 1 species